rnacentral:siRNA from 1 species
UAGCACGGUGCAACUUAACC